GACGAACGCUGGCGGCGUGCUUAACACAUGCAAGUCGAACGGAAAGGCCCUGCUUUUGUGGGGUGCUCGAGUGGCGAACGGGUGAGUAACACGUGAGUAACCUGCCCUUGACUUUGGGAUAACUUCAGGAAACUGGGGCUAAUACCGGAUAGGAGCUCCUGCUGCAUGGUGGGGGUUGGAAAGUUUCGGCGGUUGGGGAUGGACUCGCGGCUUAUCAGCUUGUUGGUGGGGUAGUGGCUUACCAAGGCUUUGACGGGUAGCCGGCCUGAGAGGGUGACCGGAAAGAGGGGGAAAGAGAGACGGCAAAGAGUCCAAGGGGGGGAAGCGGGGGGGAAGAGUGCAAAAGGGGCGGAGGCUGGAGAAAGAAACGCGGGGGGGGGGAGGAGGGCUUGGGGGGUGUAAAGCGAUUCAGCUGGGAAAGAAGCGGGAGGGAGGGAAAGGGGUAAAAAAACACGGGCAGACUACGG
rnacentral:rRNA from 1 species